rnacentral:rRNA from 1 species
GACGAACGCUGGCGGCGUGCUUAACACAUGCAAGUCGAACGAGAAGAGAUGAGAAGCUUGCUUCUUAUUGAUUCGAGUGGCAAACGGGUGAGUAACGCGUAAGCAACCUGCCCUCUAGAUGGGGACAACAGCUGGAAACGGCUGCUAAUACCGAAUACGUUCUUUCUGUCGCAUGGCAGAAGGAAGAAAGGGAGGCUCUUCGGAGCUUUCGCUGGAGGAGGGGCUUGCGUCUGAUUAGCUAGUUGGAGGGGUAACGGCCCACCAAGGCGACGAUCAGUAGCCGGUCUGAGAGGAUGAACGGCCACAUUGGGACUGAGACACGGCCCAGACUCCUACGGGAGGCAGCAGUGGGGAAUCUUCCGCAAUGGACGAAAGUCUGACGGAGCAACGCCGCGUGAACGAUGACGGCCUUCGGGUUGUAAAGUUCUGUUAUACGGGACGAAUGGUACGACGGCCAAUACCCGUCGUAAGUGACGGUAC